CGCCAUUUUGACGAGUCGUAUUUGCAUUAAAUCCCAUUCCCAUUUACUGAGUUUCGAAUAUCGGGUUAAAAUAAACAGCGAUCACCGUACGAGAAGCAUUUUAACGGAUGCGAUUUAUCGAAAACACAAAGAGUGCAAUGGAAUAAAACGUAUAGUACAAUUGCACUCGCAAGAGUGCAAUGGAACGUAUUCCAUUGCACUCUUGGGAAAUGGAAUUUUCUAUUCAAUAUCAUGUGAUCAUAAACAGCC